AGGGUGGGGAUGCAGUUGCAUCUGAUACAUGUCCUGAUCCUGGAAUUCCUGAAAAUGGGAAAAGAGUGGGCUCUGACUUCAGGGUGGGUGCAAGUGUGCAGUUUUCCUGUGAAGAUAACUAUGUGCUGCAAGGUUCUAAGAGCAUCACUUGUCAGAGAGUGACAGAUACACUGGCUGCCUGGAGUGACCACAGACCAAUUUGCCGAGCUAGAACAUGUGGUUCUAAUUUACGUGGACCAAGUGGAAUUAUUACAUCACCAAAUUAUCCAGUUCAAUAUGAAGACAAUGCACACUGUGUGUGGGUCAUUACAACAAUAGAUCCAGA